rnacentral:rRNA from 4 species
GACCCCAUGCCGAACUCAGAAGUGAAACGCCGUAGCGCCGAUGGUAGUGUGGGGUCUCCCCAUGCGAGAGUAGGGAACUGCCAGGCA